AACAAAAUUGUACGACAUUAGGGGUAUACAUUCACAUGAAGAUUAACUAAAAACAAAUACUAUAAAAAAUGAAAAAAAAUUAUUAUAAACACAGAUUUAUUAUUUUUAAGUUUCCACUCAAAAGUGCAUUUAAUAUUCCCAUAUCUAUAAUAUCAUAUGAUAUGGAAAUUCAUCAAAGAACAUGGACAGAUUGAAACCCCCUUACUAAAGAUGGAUCAAAUCACUUUGAAUGCAGGUAAAAAGUACAUGAGGUUAUGAUAAAAACCCUCUUUCUUUUGAUUUUGCAUAUCAUUCGACAUUAAGCUCAAUAUGUAAUGGGAAUUAUAAUUAACAAGUACAGUAUACUAAAUCAUCUUACAAAAAUGACAUCAUUAUUCAUUUUUUGUGAUUUUACACAAAAGUCAUGUUUAUUUAUUUUAUAUACAUGUAUUAUACAUGUGAAAUAAAUUAUUUUCCUAUUUGGAGAUAUAAUUACAUGUACUGCAUAUAUUAUAGGUAUGUUUGUAAACUGAGUAUCCUUUAAACAAACCUGAUUUUUUCCUGAUUUGGAUUUAUUUAUUACACUUCUUUAAAAUUCUUUUAAUGAAUUGUUGAUCUAUGAUGACAUUGUAUAAUACUGUAUCAGGAUUGUGUUGUCUCUAUAUAUUAACAAAUGUUAUUAAAGGUACAUGUAUAAUGUGUUUGUUUAGGUCAGAUAAUUUGUAAUAUUAUAUACAGUGUAUAUAUUGAAAAAUACAUAAAUUUUAUGUAUGUUAACUUUAUAAACAACAUGGCUUUCAAAGAAGGUGGCAGUCAUUUAUUAAUAGACAAAACAUCCAUUGUAUUUUGAGGCAAGAUACUAAGUUGUAUAAUAAUGAUCAUCAGUUAUGUCAAAAGUAUUUUCUGUGUGUAUUAAUGUGAUAUGAAAGAUGAUUGUACAUACUGUAUCUGUAUUAACACUCAACUGUUUAAAUAUUUAUUGUAUUCUCAAUGUGACGAGUACUUUUAACAUAGUAAAAAUAAAAUGUUUUUUAAAAA
rnacentral:misc_RNA from 1 species